UAGUUGUGAAACAUAGCAUCCGGUUAGGAUGAUGGUUAUAAAAUACCUACCUAUUUACCUAACGAAAGUUAUUGUUCCGCUGAUAGUUUAUUUAUUCGAAUGUUUAAGAAAUAAACGUUUCAUGUUAAAUUCAUAGUCUUUCAAUUUUUACAACUCGUGGCGAAUUUUUCGUUCAAUUUAAUCACUGACUUGUUCGUUGAAACUUUUAAUUUUUUUUUUGCUCGUGUGAUUUUGUUCUGUGGCGGUUUUUUUCUUUUUAAUAUGAUUACUGUACAGAUACUGGCUUGUAUAGUGAUAAUUGUGAUUUUGAUUAAAUAUCUCCGCAAGUCUAAAAACAAGAGAUUUUACGAAUUGCUCGAACAGUUCCCUUCACAUCCGAAGUAUCCACUGGUUGGAAAUGCACACAUGCUCUUUGGACCCGUGGACGAGUUUCUUUUAAAAUUUGAAAAAAUGACGAAUCUUCAUGAUCGCGUUCUGUUCUGGUUUGGUCCGAUACCAGCAUUACUCCUGAAAAAACACGAUGAUAUCGCUGCGGUAUUGAAUCAAAGCUCGGAUCGUGAUCUUCUUGGAACAACAGAUACGUGGCUGGGUAUGGGGAUAUUAAACGCCAGAUAUGAAGAAUGGAAGACGUCUAGAAAAAUGUUAUCGCCAGGUUUUAGCUCGAAUAUGCUUUUGAAAUAUGCAGAAGUCUUCGAAAAACAUUCCCUCAAACUCGUUGAAAAUUUAAAACCGUUUGCAAUAAGCGGUGAAGAAAUUGAUGUUUGGAAUUGGUUAACGAAAGCAUCUAUAGAAGCAAUUUCAGUUCUUCUUGGAAUUUCUUUUGCACAUGCUUGGAUUUGAUUUUUGCAAUGUCAAGUUGUUGAUUUCCACUGUACUGCUUUCCGCUGUUGGCGCAUGACCUUGAAUUAUCACAAUUGGUUUUGGCUUGACCUCCAAUCUCACAAGUAGUAUCCUCUCUGAUUUUGGAAUUAUGGCACUGAUUUUAUCGCUGAUUCUGGUUUUGACGUUGAUGUUGUUCUGCCUUGUUUUGACUUCGCGUAUUCUCAGCACCCUAUCCGGCUGCCUUGGCGGAUGAGGUCAUGUUUAUCGAUUCCGAGUCCAUCGAACAGCAACAUGUUACCACCCCACACGGCGUGGACACGCAGAAUACCCCUGGUGUUCUCUUCGCCUUCUCACAAUUUUCAGAAUUUUUCUAUGCACAGGAGGGGUGAGGGAGCAUUUUGAGUGGAAAAAUAGCAGUUUUCGAGGGAAAAUUUUUUUUGACCACUACGAAAAGGGGUGUUGCCAAGGUGGUGAUGGUAAGUUGUAGUAUAUGCUACGACGAACUUAUGGUAAAAUUUUCAGCAUUUUUCUAUGUGUAGGAAGGGAGAGGGGACGUUUCAGUUGGAAAAGUAGCCGUUGUUGCGGGAAAAUUUUUUAUUGACCAUUACAAAGAGGGGUGUGUCCAAGGUGGUUAUGCUACGUUGCGAUGUACCCUGAGACGAACUUACCAAAAAUUCUGAAAAUUUUGUCUUAGCAUAUACUACAAUGUACCAUCACCAUCUUGGGUGACUACCUCUUCGUAGUGGUCAAAAAAAAUUUUUCUCUCGAAAACGGCUAUUUUUCCACCUAAAACGCCCCCUCUCCCCUCCUAUGCAUAGAAAAAUUCUGAAAAUUGCACGGUAAGUUCGUCUCAGGGUGUAACACAACAUAGCAUCAUCACCUUGGCCGCAUCCUUCUUUGAAUUGGUCAGAAAUUUUUUUUCUCUCAAAAAACGGCAAUUUGUCUACCUUAAACGCUCCCCUCUCUCUUCCUGUACAAGAAAAAUUUUCCAAAGCUUAUUGGGGAUGUGUCAGUUAAUGGUCUGGUACUGUGGUGUGCUGAAAAUAGGAUUCCUGUAAGUUUCCUGCAUACUUGCACAGUGUAACUUCGCCUUCCAAUUUACCAAGGUGAAGAUUAUCUUGCAAGGUAACUUCAGGCACAUUAAACAAACCUAGAGCAUUUUCGUAGAAUGCACGGAGGGCGGAAAACUUAUACUUUCGUAGCAUGAAUAAUGAAAAAUCCAAACAUACCUACUUCACUUCACUUUCUCUCCUGGUGUUGUAAUCUAUCCUAUAAAGCAGCAAGAAAAAUAAAUACGCGAAAAAUACAAAAAAAUAAAUUAAAAAAUACCCGCAAAAUCGGAAAAAAGUCUUGAGCCCGAUCUAUGGCACCUAGAGAGCUGAUUUUUUUUUAAUCGAUAGCUCAACGUUUCAUCUUUCUUUCUGUCAUUUCAAGCCUUCUUGAUAAUAUUACCAUAUUAUGUAAGUACAUUGCGUAUUCAUGCUCUGUUUUUUCAGGUUUUUAUCGAGACAAGCGAAUCAAAUGUUUAAAAAAUAGCUCUGGUCCACCAUUUAUACACCUUUCAUGAUUUCAUUUUGUGAAGGGUCUACCAUCAAUAUGUUCAUCCAAAAAUGGACCAUGGGUCCCUUCAUUUUAUCCCAACUUUUUUUAAAAUUUGCCCCCCCCCAAAAGGGUGGGGUGUUCUUUGGGGAUAUGCUUUCACUCAUUCAGUACACCUAAUGAUACUAUAUCAUGCAGUUCCAUGAUUGACCUCAUUGGGGUUUUUUCUUUCUCAGUUUUCAAGGAAAAUUGAAUAAAUCGGUAGGGCUUUUACAAGACGGCUUUAAGGGGAUGGGGGUGAACUGUGUGUUAAAGUGAUGCUUGUGAUGAUCUAAUUCAGGAAAUUGAAAGCAUUUUCACACAACAUCUCAGGAUUAGCCUGGGUGUUUAAGGGUUAAAGAGCAUGAAAUUUUAAACAUUUCCCUUGUUUACAGUACCCAUCGAGCAUUUUUAGUUUUGGAGAUAAUCUAACUCAAAAUUUGAAUUCAAAUAGCUCAAAAACUAAAAACCCUAGAGGGGUAAUGUCAGCGAGGGAAAUGUUCAGAAUUUAAUGCUUUUUAAAAUAUGACAUGUAUUAACCACCUUUCUAACUUUUUCCGUUCUCGAUAUUUUGUAAUAUAUUUGAAAAAAAUCGAAAAAACGGCAAAAACUGCCCAUUGAAACUCAAAAUUUGGGCACUUUAAUUUUAAAAUUUUUGCUCCGCAUAUUUUUCCUAUAUUCUAGAGACGUUAAGCUGUAGAUUGAAAAAAAAAAAUCAGCUCUCUAGGUGCCAUAGGUCGGGCUCAGGACUUUUUCCCGAUAUUUCGAGUAUUUUUUAAUUAAUUUUUUUUUCGUAUUUUUCGCGUAUUUUUGGGGUAUUUAUAAAUUUUCUUGCAGCUUUAUAGUAUAGAUAAAGAUUUUGGCAAUUACCAAAGAUUUCAAAAGCUCAUACACCAAUCUUUGAACUUUUUUAUUUUUUAUUGAAGGCAAUCGAAACUUCGCCAGUGAACACAAGCUUUAUGAUGUUAAUGUUAGCGAUCCAUCAAGAUAUUCA